CUGACAUGCGUGCGAGUCGACGGGUUCAGAAACCUGAGAUGCGCAAGGAAGCUGACGAGCGGGAGGCCCUCACGAGCCGCACCGCUGGCCGACCCUGAUCUUCUGUGAAGGGUUCGAGUUGGAGCACGCCUGUCGGGACCCGAAAGAUGGUGAACUAUGCCUGAGCGGGGCGAAGCCAGAGGAAACUCUGGUGGAGGCUCGAAGCGAUACUGACGUGCAAAUCGUUCGUCUGACUUGGGUAUAGGGGCGAAAGACUAAUCGAACCAUCUAGUAGCUGG
rfam:Zea mays cultivar B73 chromosome 6, whole genome shotgun sequence.